GAUGAACGCUAGCGGCAGGCCUAAUACAUGCAAGUCGAACGGAUAUAUGUUUUUCGGAAUAUAUAUUAGUGGCGCACGGGUGAGUAACACGUACAUAACUUGCCCUCAAGCGGGGGAUAGCCUUGGGAAACUGAGAGUAAUACCCCAUAGAAUUAUUGGACGGCAUCGUUUGAUAAUUAAAACUACGGUGUUUGGGGAUAGAUGUGCGUCUGAUUAGCUAGUUGGUGAGGUAACUGCUCACCAAGGCGACGAUCAGUAGGGGGCGUGAGAGCGUGGCCCCCCACACGGGUACUGAGACACGGACCCGACUCCUACGGGAGGCAGCAGUAAGGAAUAUUGGUCAAUGGAGGGAACUCUGAACCAGCCAUGCCGCGUGAAGGAUGACGGCCCUCUGGGUUGUAAACUUCUUUUGGAUGGGGCGAAAAAACGGGNUUUAUCCUGGACUGACGGUACCAUCAGAAUAAGCACCGGCUAACUCCGUGCCAGCAGCCGCGGUAAAGUACAGUGU
rnacentral:rRNA from 1 species